rnacentral:Y_RNA from 1 species
UGCUGGUCCUGAGUGCAGUGGCGUUUACAACAAACCAGUUUACAGAUUUAUUUGUUCCUUCUGCCACUCCCACUGCGUUGCCUUGACUAGCCCUAA